GACGGAGGGGGCUAGCGUUGUUCGGAAUUACUGGGCGUAAAGAGCGCGUAGGCGGCUUUACAAGUUGGAAGUGAAAGCCCGGGGCUUAACCUAGGAAUUGCUUUCAAAACUGUAGAGCUAGAGUGUAGUAGGGGAUGAUGGAAUUCCUAGUGUAGAGGUGAAAUUCUUAGAUAUUAGGAGGAACACCGGUGGCGAAGGCGGUCAUCUGGGCUACAACUGACGCUGAGGUGCGAAAGCGUGGGGAGCAAACAGG
rnacentral:rRNA from 1 species